rnacentral:sRNA from 1 species
AAUUCAUAUAUGAGCGACUAGGCUCUGCCGCAUUUGGGCAUUGGAUAAAGGCAAUUGAUAUGACUUUAACAUAGUCGCGUUGAAGGAUACUCAAAAUCGUUUUGUUUGCUUUCCAUAUUCGAUUGACGGUGCUAGGGCCGUCAUCUUCUUCGUUGGUAUUAUGCCUAUCAAUGAGAGGGUGGCGUACACAGUUUGUUCUCCUUUCAGCUAUGCCUGACCGAUGAACCCUCGCUGAAAAUCAAUUCUCUGUCAAACUUUCCGUCGCAUCAUCACCUUGUACACGCUGCUGGGGGCCAUAUCUACGCCUGCGGCACUGUGAGACCACAGCAUAUGGACAGGAAAUAAUUCCUGUGAAACGUUACUGAAGAGUGCAUCUACGGUUAUCAGUCACCGGGAUAUCUGCUAUUCACAGCCAAUCCUGAAAGAUGGCGUGAUUCGUAGGCAUAGGACAAUUGAACUCGAAAUAAUCAAAAAAAAAAAAAAAAAAAAAAAAAAAAAAGUUGAGGGUAUUUUAUCGAACUCUCCGGAGCAUUUGAAGCCUCCGCCUGGACGCCAACUUCAUAUGGAAAUGAAAUAACCCCAAAGCAACAGAAUCGGAAUUUCACCAACCAUGUCGACCGCUCUAUUUGUACGUAGGUGAACCGGGCGUCCUGCAAACAUAUCUGCAUUAUUAUUCUUAAUAGUGAGGAGCACAAUUGACAGGAGUGUAUGAGAUCCGUUUCGCUAAAAGUAGUGAUCAAACAUGAUUGAAAAGCAAUACUUCGCUAAUCUAUUUAUUCCCUCCAGGGAAUAAGAAUACAUCUCGCGUUCUCUCGGGGAUCCGGAGAGCACUCCACAUGAGAAGGAAGAAGCUUCAAAACCUUCAGCAAGAUAUCAGCGAGUAACCCCUCAGCUACCCACACCAUAAACGUGUCAUCGCCCUCCCCGCAAGUGAACGAAAGGAAUACAAUUCUCCUAUGGUCGUGGCGUUUGGGAACCGUGAAAUGUGUCCGUCGUCCAGCGUUUCUCCUCAUCGGGCAUUUUUCGAUAUAUCGAUAUGGAUUGUUGACGAGCGAGCGGCAGUCGUGGCUCAUUUCCCAUGUUUGAUAUUAUCAAAAGGUGCUUGGAGAAUAUGAAUAGAACAUUGCGACGAUAUCUGCUCCCGGAUUGAUCUUCAUUCCUAAGGAUGAUAGACACUCUUCCGUGGACACGGGCUCGAUCUGGCUCGUUGUUGAGAACGGAGUUGACGUAUCAGGAAAAGGUUUUUAUCAGGCGUUCUGUACUUCAUGAACAUAUAUCCCGUGGCCCAAAGGGAGUCUAGAAAAAGUCGCCGACGGGUGUCGACGGUGCGACACUGAAGGGAUAUGAUGGUAGGGUGCCCCGUAAUUUUGUUGUAGAAUGGCAAACCCAUACCGAUGGCGACGGCUGUCACUGUUCCAACCAUGAAACGAAAUACGGACGAAGAUCAUCUAAGUAAUGAGAUGGAAAUGCAGCUGACCGAAGGUCAUGUCGGAGUGGAAAGAUUGCCAGACCAGUUCGGCUUCAAGAUGAAUGGGAAAUUGCGUGCCCACCCUUUUUUCCUCAUGACUACGCGGAAUAAAGUUUAAUCAGCGCCUGCAAAGGAUAUAAUUGAAGCGAAAAAUUAAAUGAUACCGGUGAUGUACGGAGAGUAGUUCUCUCAAGAAAACAUUUCAUCAUGCGAAAAAUUCUACUUUAUAUACAUUCAAAUCUUCUACUCAUUAACAAAGAAUUAAACCAUUUUUAACACGAUAGGAAAUCUCGAAGUCUAGUAUGUCGACAGAGGGGGAUAUGCAAUUUAAAAAUUAAAGAAAGAAAACAGAAAGAAAGACACCAUCACUAACAUAAAACUUUGUUUGUUUAGAGCAGUGGAGUGUACUUAACUUCCAGCUACCGUCGUUGCCGAACAAGGUUCAUUUCAGUGCACUUCCCAUUUUAGGGUACCAGUUCUUUCAGCUCCACCUCGGAAGCAUUAGCUGCUCUGCCAAAGCCCCAGCCUGGAUGGAAUGCGUUGAGAACUAGAACGGCAAGAACAAUCAUAACGCUCUCAAGGCCAAUGAAGAGCGGCUCAUCUUUGAGAAGGGGGCCAUCCCAGCCACCCGAAAGUUCUGCAAUUCGAUAAACGCAUCGGAUAAAGAUAAACAGAGUUGCCAGACAGAGGGCAACAAGGAAGCUACGGAAAGCGAAUGAUGAACGGAGAGCAGCGUGGUUGGGAUCAAGAGCUUCGACACCAAUUGAUCGCAUGCGGCGCAACGUUCGAAUAGCGAAGUCGACAGCGAGCAGGAUGAAAACGGUUAAAAUGGCGACUUGCCAAACAACACCGGCAAUCAUGAGGUUUGUGCCUGUCUCUGCUAAAGAAGUACCGGGAUCGGCGGAACUGGCGAUCCCGCCUCCAGCGCCUUGGAGGGCCAGUGCAAGGAUGUCGCAGGGAAUGAAAAUUCGCGGAUACCAAGCUGCGGGAAUGCGGGAAUUUUCGCGACCGAACGUUGUGACGAUUCUUGAGAGGCAGAAGUAUAUACCGGCGGCGAGGAAGGCUGGUGCAAUUGUCAAGCAGCAAACUUGGAUCAUAAACGGAUUUUGUGCCCACGGGUUGUUGUACAUUAAGAUCCGGCCAAUGUACCCAAUUAGUUCGCACAGAGUACCAAGGAUCAUUGCGAUAGAAAAUCCUAUAAACCUCCUCGAAAUGAAGGAUUGUAGGACAAAUACAACAAGGGAGAAACCGAAAAUUGCGGCAAAAGCAAUAUUUGCCGCGCGUGACGGGCGGUAGCCAUAGUAAGAGUCGUCAAUGUUGCAUAUUUCGAAAGUGCACGAGUCUCCAUCUAUUUCACGACGGGCAAGCGCCGAGAGAAGUGAGGCAAGCAUUGAUGAUCGAGCAAGAGGAAAUCGUUUGUUUUAAGAAGGGUAUCAAGAAGUAAUGAUUUCCCUAACUAUAAAAAUCCAAUAGUUGAUUGUUUGUGGAGAAAAGAAACUUCUCACUAGAAGGGGC